AGCGAAUAUAUUUUUAUAUUUUUUUCCCCUAAAAUUAUUCUUAUAGUUGUCUUCUAUGUGUUAUUUUAUAAUAUUUAUUGACUUUUAUUAAUAAAUGACUUAUUUAUGUCCAUAUUAUAUUUUAUUGAAUAAUUAGCUUAAAUAGUGUGUUAUUUUAUUAUAGGUAUUUUACAAGCUCACUUUGCUAAAUCAAGACAACAAGACUAAAAGAAAGAAGAGAAGAAAAGAAAAGAAAAGAAAAAAAAUGAUAAAAGUGAGCAAGCUCACGUGAGUUUUGGAAAUAAAAGAAAGAAAACAAAGGGGGCACGUAUAUCUUUUAAUUCCUCUUCCUUCUUAUCUGUAUACUCAGCAAACAAAAGAAACAAGAAGUUGUUUCUACCUUCCUCAUUCCAUGCAAGAAACAGCAAGAGGAAAUAUGAUUUUAUCUCCUCAAAUUUUCAAGAUCCAAUUUGUUUAUCAGAUUUUCAGUUACGAAAUUCUAUCUUUUUGAUUCAAUCUUCUACAGAACUAGAUAUAAAUUCACCAUUUUUUGGAAAUGAGAAACACACACAUACAAGAGAGUUCAUGAGAGUGAAGAAAACAAUCGGGUUCAUCCAAGAUCGACAAGUUGACAGGAAUUGAAGAAGUAUUGCAUUUUCGGAGGCGAAUUGAGGGUAGCGGCUGCAUCAAUUCGUAACUGCAGUCAUGAGUGCAUGAGUUUGGAUACUACAUAGCGAAUAAACCAGUUCAUUGAGACUCUAAACGAAGCUAGCCUAGAGAAAUUACUUUACAUCUUUCAAGACAGACCACUUGAAGACUCGGAGAUGGGUGAUGAACGAACCUUGAAGGAAUUAGGAGCUCCGAAGCUAGAUGAUGAACUGCUCUGCAUUAUUUUUCCAACCUUGGAAAAACCUUUGAAGCUGAACUCAGGUUUUUUUAAUCUCCUUCCCAACUUCUAUGGGAACGCAGUUGAGGAUCCUCAUAGACAUUUAAAAGAAUUUAUAGUGGUUUGUUCAACAAUGAAACCUGAAGGAAUUGAACAACAUCAAGUAAGAUUGCAUGCUUUCCCAUUUUCCCUACAUGAUUUAGCUAAAGAUUGGUUGUAUAUUAUGUCUUAUGGUUCCAUUACGACUUGGGACGCCUUACAAAAAGCUUUUCUGGAAAAAUUUCUUUUCCGCAAGUCGUAUUGGAUCCAUAAGAAAGGAAAUAUGUGGAAUUAGACAACAUAAUUCAGAAACACUUUAUGAAUAUUGGGAACGUUUUAAAAAAAUUAUGUGCUUCAUGUCCACAACAUCAAAUAACUGAUCAACUGUUAAUUCAAUAUUUUUAUGAAGGAUUUGCCUAAUGAUAGGGGUAUGAUUGAUGCUGCUAGAGGUGGCGCAUUAGUAGAUAAGACACCAACUCAAGCUAGGAAUCUAAUUGCUAACAUGGCCCAAAACACUCAACAACAUAGCACUAGAAAUGAUGUUAAAAGAGUAAACGAAAUUGACUUAAGUGGUGUUAAAUCUCAAUUGCAAGAAAAUGCUCAACAAAUUGCUACUUUGACUACUUUAGUAUCUAAAAUUAUUGUUGGUAAUGAGUCUAAAGCUAGAGUAUGUGGUAUAUGUUUUGAGUUUUCUCAUGCUACUGAUGCUUGUCCUACUUUACAUAUUGAAGAUGCAAAUGCUGUAGGAGGGCACUCUACUAAUCAAUCCCAAAGAAAAUAUGAUCCUUAUUCACAGACUUAUAAUGAUGGAUGGAGAGACCACCGUAACUUUAGAUACGGACCUAGACCGACCUUUCCCCAAACCAAUAAUUCUAGGUAAUUUGGUGAGCAAAACCCUCCACCCCAAUCUUCUGGCUCAUCUUUAGAAGACAUGAUGAAGCAACUUGCAACUCAAAUAGGCCAAGUACAUAACCAAAAUAUCAAGUACCAAAAGAAAACUGAUUCGCAUCUUCACCACCUUGAUACACAAAUUGGCCAGAUUUGUACUUCUUUAAGUAAUAUAGAAAGUCAGGUCUUAGGAAAACUACCAUCUCAACCUUUUCCGAAUCAAAAUAAACAAGUAAAUGCAGUGACAAUCAAUAAAAAACAACCAAGGGGCAGCCUUUAAUACCUAUUAAUGAACAUGAAUUUGUUACCAAUUUAAGUGCGGAAAUGCAAGAAAACAGAAUUCCAUUAUUAGAUGCAAUAAAGGCGGUUCCUAAAUAUAGCAAGUUAUUCAAUGUAUACUACACUAAUUCAAAAAUAAACGAGAGUCAUCAAGUCUGUUUGACACCCAUUAUCCUACCACCCCCAAAGUGUGAGGAUCCUAGAUCAUUCUCGAUUCCUUGUAGGAUAGGUGGGCAUAUAUUUCUCCAACGUAUUAAAUUUUGGCGCCGUUGCUGGGUAUCGAAUGUAUGCUAUAUUUCUAUAAUGUAUGCUAGAUUUAGGUUCUGCAGUUAAUAUUAUGCCAGUUUCCUUUUAUGAUGAGUGUAAGAUGGGACCAUUAAAAAUAUCUAAUGGGAUACUUACUAUGGCUGAUGGUAGUAAUGUUAACACAAUUGGAUUGCUUGAUAAUGUUCUUAUUCAGAUUAGACACAUGUUCUUCCUAGUUUAUUUUGUUGUUCUUGAUACGAAGCAUGAGUCUGAAAUAUUGCUAGGCAGACCACUACAAGGGCAUUGAUUGAUGUCGCUAACGAUUAUGUUAUUCUUGAGAGCAAUGGGGAGCGAAUGCAGUUGAACAUAUUUGAGGAACAUACUUUCAUAUAGAGGCAAAUGCUACUGAUUAUGCUACUUAUUGUCUUGCACAGGUUGGAGAAGAAAAUUUGGAGAUUUUAUUAGAUGAGAUGGCCACCACUUUAGGCCUUGGACAAUUGUUCCUAACUGCUCUAAAUGAGAGUAUUCGACAUGAAUGAAGAGCAUCUUACGUCGAGCCAACGACAUAAACUAAAGGCGCUACUUGGGAGGCAACCCAAGACUCAUUCUCUUUCCUUUCGAAGUUUUUCUUUUUAUUUUUAUUUUUAUUUUUUGGCAGAUGGCUUGACAUGAGCAUGGUACCACUAUACAACAGCAUGGCUAAAAAUUUGAUGCCUUCUUUGAAGAUAUAUUACACAACUAGCUAAGUUUUCUUCCAUAUUUUCAGUAUCGCGUUUCAUUGAGGACAAUGAAAAGUUUAAGUGUGGGGGAGGCUAAGUCUUUGUAUUAUUUGAUAUUAAUAUGCUGGAAAACAGGUUUUGACAUAAUUAUAAAAAGUGAGAUAUUCCUGUUUU